UAGUUGGUGAGGUAACGGCCCACCAAGGCACCGAUCGGUAGCUGGUUUGAGAGAACGACCAGCCACACUGGGACUGAGACACGGCCCAGACUCCUACGGGAGGCAGCAGUAGGGAAUCUUGGACAAUGGGGGAAACCCUGAUCCAGCCAUGCCGCGUGAGUGAUGAAGGCCUUCGGGUUGUAAAACUCUUUCGGCGGGGACGAUAAUGACGGUACCCGCAGAAGAAGCUCCGGCUAACUUCGUGCCAGCAGCCGCGGUAAUACGAAGGGGGCUAGCGUUGUUCGGAAUUACUGGGCGUAAAGCGCGCGCAGGCGGCCUUUCAAGUCAGGGGUGAAAGCCCGGAGCUCAACUCCGGAAUUGCCUUUGAAACUGUCAGGCUCGAGUACGGGAGAGGUGAGUGGAAUUCCCAGUGUAGAGGUGAAAUGCGCAGAUAUCAGGAGGAACACCGGUGGCGAAGGCGGGUCUCUGGGCCGAUACUGACGCUGAGGAGCGAAAGCGUGGGGAGCGAACAGGAUUAGAUACCCUGGUAGUCCACGCUGUAAACGUUGGGCGCUAGGUGUGGGGGGCCUCUCCGGUUCUCUGUGCCGCAGCUAACGCAUUAAGCGCCCCGCCUGGGGAGUACGGCCGCAAGGCUAAAACUCAAAGGAAUUGACG
rnacentral:rRNA from 1 species